AGUGAACGCUGGCGGUAGGCCUAACACAUGCAAGUCGAACGGCAGCACAGUAAGAGCUUGCUCUUACGGGUGGCGAGUGGCGGACGGGUGAGGAAUACAUCGGAAUCUACUUUUUCGUGGGGGCUAACGUAGGGAAACUUACGCUAAUACCGCAUACGACCUACGGGUGAAAGCAGGGGAUCUUCGGACCUUGCGCGAUUGAAUGAGCCGAUGUCGGAUUAGCUAGUUGGCGGGGUAAAGGCCCACCAAGGCGACGAUCCGUAGCUGGUCUGAGAGGAUGAUCAGCCACACUGGAACUGGGACACGGUCCAGACUCCUACGGGAGGCAGCAGUGGGGAAUAUUGGACAAUGGGCGCAAGCCUGCUCCAGCCAUACCGCGUGGGUGAAGAAGGCCUUCGGGUUGUAAAGCCCUUUUGUUGGGAAAGAAAAGCAGCAGGUUAAUACCCCGCUGUUCUGACGGUACCCAAAGAAUAAGCACCGGCUAACUUCGUG
rnacentral:rRNA from 1 species